UACGUAGGGUGCAAGCGUUGUCCGGAAUUAUUGGGCGUAAAGAGCUCGUAGGCGGUUCGUCGCGUCGGCUGUGAAAACCUGAGGCUCAACCUCAGGCCUGCAGUCGAUACGGGCGGACUUGAGUACUGCAGGGGAGACUGGAAUUCCUGGUGUAGCGGUGAAAUGCGUAGAUAUUGGUAGGAACACCAGUGGCGAAGGCGGUCUUCUGGAGCACUCUUGACGCUGAGGCGCGAAAGCUGGGGGAGCGAGCGGG
rnacentral:rRNA from 1 species